rnacentral:rRNA from 1 species
GACAGAGGGUGCAAACGUUGUUCGGAAUUACUGGGCGUAAAGCGCGUGUAGGCUGCUCCGCAAGUCGGAUGUGAAAGCCCUGGGCUCAACCUAGGAAGUGCACUCGAAACUUCGGAGCUGGAGUCCUGGAGAGGAAGGUGGAAUGCUUGGUGUAGAGGUGAAAUUCGUAGAUAUCAAGCGGAACACCGGUGGCGAAGGCGGCCUUCUGGACAGUGACUGACGCUGAGACGCGAAAGCGUGGGGAGCAAACAGG